UGAUUUGUGUUUCCAGUAACACAAUCUUCUACUUUGAUUCUACUCGGUUACCUCAAGUAAGAAAGGGCCUCGUGAGGUCCAUACUGCAAAAUACCAUGAAGAAGAUAAAUCCUCGAUCUCCUCGAGGUCCUGCAUGGAAAGCACCCAAGUGCGCACAACAGGAAAACGGAGUUGACUGUGG